CCCCUCCUCCCUGCCCCGCCCCAGCGGCCCCGCCCCUCUAGGCAGUACCGCCCCUCCUGGAAGCCCCGCCCCUCCUGGAAGCCCCGCCUAGACAGCAGCCCCUGGGUCAGGGACCCUGAGCGUACCGCCGGGGAAAGAGGUUGCUGGAGGCCCGAGCUGGCCUGGCCUGGGCGAAGGCCUCGGACAGCGCGCACGCUUCCCGCUCAGAACUUUUCGCCUGAAAACUGGCCACGGUUUCCUAUUCCGCGCAAAGAGUUAACUUGUAUCCGUCCUGAGCCGGCCAGCUGAACUACGAGGACCCGGCUACCGGCUACCUGGUGCUCACACAGCUGGCGCACUUGCAGAGAGGCGAAUGCUGCGGCUCCGCCUGCAGACACUGUCCAUAUGGUCAAA